rnacentral:tRNA from 1 species
GCCAGGGUAGCUCAGUUGGUAGAGCGGCGGUAUCGUAAACCGUAGGUCAGGGGUUCGACUCCCCUCUCUGGCU